rnacentral:rRNA from 1 species
UAAGGAAUAUUGGGCAAUGGACGAAAGUCUGACCCAGCCAUGCCGCGUGGAGGAUGAAGGUCCUCUGGAUUGUAAACUUCUUUUAUCUGGGAAGAAAAAAGGGAAUUCUUUCCCGUCUGACGGUACCAGAUGAAUAAGCACCGGCUAACUCCGUGCCAGCAGCCGCGGUAAUACGGAGGGUGCAAGCGUUAUCCGGAUUUACUGGGUUUAAAGGGUGCGUAGGUGGGCUGGUAAGUCCGUGGUGAAAUCCCCGAGCUUAACUUGGGAACUGCCAUGGAUACUAUUGGUCUUGAAUUUUCUGGAGGUUAGCGGAAUAUGUCAUGUAGCGGUGAAAUGCUUAGAUAUGACAUAGAACACCGAUUGCGAAGGCAGCUGGCUACAGAAACAUUGACACUGAGGC